rnacentral:rRNA from 2 species
GGCAUUGCCCUAGUAACGGCGAGUGAAGCGGCAACAGCUCAAAUUUGAAAUCUGGCGCAAGCCCGAGUUGUAAUUUGUAGAGGAUGCUUCUGGGUAGCGACCGAUCUAAGUUCCUUGGAACAGGACGUCAUAGAGGGUGAGAAUCCCGUAUGUGACCGGCCCGCACCCUUUACGUAGCUCCUUCGACGAGUCGAGUUGUUUGGGAAUGCAGCUCUAAAUGGGAGGUAAAUUUCUUCUAAAGCUAAAUACCGGCCAGAGACCGAUAGCGCACAAGUAGAGUGAUCGAAAGAUGAAAAGUACUUUGGAAAGAGAGUUAAAAAGCACGUGAAAUUGUUGAAAGGGAAGCGCCUGCAACCAGACUUCGCGGCAGUGUUCCGCCGGUCUUCUGACCGGUUCAUUCUCUGUCGCGAGGCCAUCAUCGUCUGGGCCCGCCGGAUAAGACCUGAGGAAUGUGGCUCCCCCUCGGGGGAGUGUUAUAGCCUCUGGUGAUGCGGCGUGGCUCGGGCGAGGUCCGCGCUUCGGCAAGGAUGAUGGCGUAAUGGUUGUCGGCGGCCCGUCUUGAAACACGGACCAAGGAGUCUAACAUCUAUGCGAGUGUUCGGGUGUCAAACCCCUACGCGUAAUGAAAGUGAACGGAGGUGGGAACCGCAAGGUGCACCAUCGACCGAUCCUGAUGUCCUCGGAUGGAUUUGAGUAAGAGCAUAGCUGUUGGGACCCGAAAGAUGGUGAACUAUGCCUGAAUAGGGUGAAGCCAGAGGAAACUCUGGUGGAGGCUCGCAGCGGUUCUGACGUGCAAAUCGAUCGUCAAAUUUGGGUAUAGGGGCGAAAGACUAAUCGAACCAUCUAGUAGCUGGUUCCUGCCGAGC